rnacentral:rRNA from 1 species
CAGCCGCCACGGGAAUACGGAGGGUGCAAGCGUUAAUCGGAAUUACUGGGCGUAAAGCGCACGCAGGCGGUCUGACAAGUCAGAUGUGAAAUCCCCGGGCUUAACCUGGGAACUGCAUUUGAAACUGUCAGGCUGGAGUCUUGUAGAGGGGGGUAGAAUUCCAGGUGUAGCGGUGAAAUGCGUAGAGAUCUGGAGGAAUACCGGUGGCGAAGGCGGCCCCCUGGACAAAGACUGACGCUCAGGUGCGAAAGCGUGGGGAGCAAACAGGAUUAGAGACCCCUGUAGUCCCUGUCUCUUAUAC